rnacentral:rRNA from 1 species
GAUGAACGCUGGCGGCAGGCUUAACACAUGCAAGUCGAACGCAUCGCAAGAUGAGUGGCAGACGGGUGAGUAACGCGUGGGAACAUACCCUUUUCUACGGAAUAGCUCUGGGAAACUGGAAUUAAUACCGUAUACGCCCUACGGGGGAAAGAUUUAUCGGGGAAGGAUUGGCCCGCGUUGGAUUAGCUAGUUGGUGGGGUAAAGGCCUACCAAGGCGACGAUCCAUAGCUGGUCGGAGAGGAUGAUCAGCCACAUUGGGACUGAAACACGGCCCAAACUCGUAGGGGAGGCAGCGGUGGGGAAUGUGGGACAAGGGGCACAAGCCUGUUCCACCCACGCGGCGGGGGUAAUGAGGGCCUUAGGGUUGUAACCCUCUUUCACCGAUAAAGAUAAUGACGUUAGUGGGAGAAGAGGCCCCGGCUAACUUCGUGCCAGCAGCCGCAGUAA